rnacentral:lncRNA from 1 species
UUCUUAUUUUUAUUAUUCUCCGAUGUCCCCACUUUCAUCCAGCUCCCGAGAGGGAUCUAGAUUUAGAUCUAGUUCUAGCCGAGGCCUUUUAUUAAGAUCUUGAUCUAAAGCCUCCCGCUCUCCCGCGGGCUCUGGCUCUCUUUUAUUAUCAUCCUUUAGUAGUAGCGGCUCUUUCUCUUUGCCUUUACUAGGCCCGCUUGUUUCAGGCAAAUGGGCAUCCUCUGCCUCGCGAGCAGGUUCUUCGAAGACGCGAGCGUCCGCUAGAACAUCCUGAGUAAAAAAGGUAU